rnacentral:antisense_RNA from 1 species
AAGUGCCUACCACGCCACCCCCUAUCUGCAAGAAUCCAUCUGAAGAGGUCGCGGGGCAGCGGCUCCGCAGACAGACUGACCUGCGGGGAGGUGCGGUUUCCAGUGGCGCGGGACAAGCCGGCUCCGAGAGGGAACUGGGACCUUUGCCUAGGGCAAGACGUCAACAGGAACCCGCAGGCCCGCCCUGGACACCUGCUUCCCGCACUGGAGGCUUUAACUCCCACUCGAGUCUCUUGGCGUCGUCAGUGCCAGGAGCGCUUGGAUUGGGAUGGGGACGGAGAAAGGUGCCUCGCUCGCCGAGCCCCGCUGCACUUGGGGACCUGGCAAAGUCGAGGUUUCCUCACAGCGUUGAGAUUGAGACUGGGGAUCGGCAGCACUGAGGAGUAAAGGAAUAUUUGGGAGGAUCAGAAGCUUGGUCCUGAUUUUGCCAUCAACCAGGACCUUGAUGACUUCAAGGGAGUCCCCAAACCCUGGGUUUCUGUUUUCUCAACUCUAACAUGAGGGGCUAGACGCAUCUGGUUUAGUUCGUCUCCAUGAUCCUGUGAAUUUCAGAUGUUGAAAAUCUUCAGAAAAGCCCUGAAAGAUGAAGAGUGGUCUCAAAUAGUCAAGACCCCCUGCUGGGGGGAGCGUCUAUCCUGCUCUGUGGAAGAAAUGGGCAUGCCAGAUGCCUGGAAGAUCAGAGGCUCACAUUCCAGCACCAUUCACAAUAGCAAGGACAUGGAAUCAACCUAAGAGCCCAUCAACAGUGGACUGGAUAGAGAAAAUGAGGUACGACUACACCAUGGAAUACUAUGCAGCCAUAAAAAAGAAUGAAAUCAUGUCCUUUCAGCAACAUGGAUGGAGCUG